rnacentral:rRNA from 1 species
CCUACGGGUGGCUGCAGUGGGGAAUAUUGCACAAUGGGGGAAACCCUGAUGCAGCGACGCCGCGUGAGCGAUGAAGGAUUUCGGGAUGGAAAACUCUAUCAGCAGGGAAGAAAAUGACGGUACCUGCCUACGAAGCCCCGGCUAACUACGUGCCAGCAGCCGCGGUCAUACGGAGGGGGCAAGCGUUAUCCGGAUUUACUGGGUGUAAAGGGAGCGUAGACGGUCCUGCAAGCCAGAUGUGAAAGCCCGGGGCUCAACCCCGGGACUGCAUUUGGAACUGUAAGGCUAGAGUGUCGGAGAGGCAGGCGGAAUGCCUGGUGUAGCGGUGAAAUGCGUAGAUAUUAGGAGGAACACCAGUGGCGAAGGCAGCCUGCUGGACGAUGACUGACGUUGAGGCUCGAAAGCGUGGGGAGCAAACAGGAUUAGAUACCCCUGUAGUC